UUGAGAGUUUGAUCCUGGCUCAGAACGAACGCUGGCGGCAGGCUUAACACAUGCAAGUCGAGCGCACUCUUCGGAGUGAGCGGCGGACGGGUUAGUAACGCGUGGGAACGUGCCCUUCUCUAAGGAAUAGCCACUGGAAACGGUGAGUAAUACCUUAUACGCCCUUCGGGGGAAAGAUUUAUCGGAGAAGGAUCGGCCCGCGUUUGAUUAGAUAGUUGGUGGGGUAAUGGCCUACCAAGUCUACGAUCUAUAGCUGGUUUUAGAGGAUGAUCAGCAACACUGGGACUGAGACACGGCCCAGACUCCUACGGG
rnacentral:rRNA from 1 species